rnacentral:lncRNA from 1 species
AUCCGUGCCACACGCUGUGCCUGCGCUUCAUACACAUCCCCCACUUUCAUCCUCGCGACAGCCCUCUGAGGUCAUUGAGGCUCGCCGCCCCCUAGGGGAAGGGAGUAGGGUGAAGGCGACGGAAGUUGACGUCACCCUCAGUCGCCAUGUUGGUUGAGAAUAAAGGGAUGGUUUUGGAGGCCUGGGCGGACUUCUUUGAUGAGGGGAAACCGCUUUCGCGGGAUCUGGUGGAUGUAGAUAUAUGGGUUUAUAGUUGGGGAAACUUAAUUGCCAGGAGGCGAGACUGAGAGUGUCACAGGGAUUGGACUUGACCUCAGACAUCUUGACGCUCAAACCAGGAUUCUAGCAGAAAAAUGGUAGCAAGAAGAGAAGAAAAUGGGCAUACUUACGGAGAAUUGAAAAUCAAAAAAAUGAUUAAGAUAAAUUCAAGAA